UCCUCCGUGGCGCAAUUGGCUAGCGCGUUCGACUGUUACCCCUGGCAAAUCGAGAGGUUGGAAGUUCGAGCCUUCCCGGGGGAG
rnacentral:tRNA from 1 species